UACGUAGGGUGCAAGCGUUAAUCGGAAUUACUGGGCGUAAGCGUGCGCAGGCGGUGAUGUAAGACAGAUGUGAAAUCCCCGGGCUCAACCUGGGAACUGCAUUUGUGACUGCAUCGCUGGAGUGCGGCAGAGGGGGAUGGAAUUCCGCGUGUAGCAGUGAAAUGCGUAGAUAUGCGGAGGAACACCGAUGGCGAAGGCAAUCCCCUGGGCCUGCACUGACGCUCAUGCACGAAAGCGUGGGGAGCAAACAGG
rnacentral:rRNA from 1 species